rnacentral:misc_RNA from 1 species
GAAAUGCGAUACGUAAUGUGAAUUGCAGAAUUCAGUGAAUCAUCGAGUCUUUGAACGCACAUUGCGCCCUCUGGUAUUCCGGAGGGCAUGCCUGUCCGAGCGUCAUUGCUGCCCUCAAGCACGGCUUGUGUGUUGGGCUCCGUCCCCCGAUCCCGGGGGACGGGCCCGAAAGGCAGCGGCGGCACCGCGUCCGGUCCUCGAGCGUAUGGGGCUUUGUCACCCGCUCUGUAGGCCCGGCCGGCGCUUGCCGAUCAACCAAAUUUUUAUCCAGGUUGACCUCGGAUCAGGUAGGGAUACCCGCUGAGUUUAA